GACGAACGCUGGCGGCGUGCUUAACACAUGCAAGUCGAACGGAAAGGCUCCAGCUUGCUGGAGUACUCGAGUGGCGAACGGGUGAGUAACACGUGGGUGAUCUGCCCUGCACUUCGGGAUAAGCCUGGGAAACUGGGUCUAAUACCGGAUAGGACCGCACUUUGGUGUGUGUGGUGGAAAGGUUUUUCUGGUGUGGGAUGAGCUCGCGGCCUAUCAGUUUGUUGGUGGGGUAAUGGGCUACCAAGACGGCGACGGGUAGCCGGCCUGAGAGGGUGGACGGUGACAUUGGGACUGAGGUACGGCCCAGACGCCGACGGGAGGCAGAAGUGGGGAAGAUUGCACAAGGGGGGAAGCCCUGAUGCAGCGACGCCUCGUGGGGGAUGAAGGCCUUCGGGUUGUAAACUCCUUUCGCUAGGGACGAAGCUUGUUGUGACGGUACCUGGAGAAGAAGCACCGGCUAACUACGUG
rnacentral:rRNA from 1 species